rnacentral:rRNA from 1 species
AGAGUUUGAUCCUGGCUCAGGACAAACGCUGGCGGCGUGCGUAACACAUGCAAGUCGAGCGAAUCAAUGGGAGCUUGCUCCUGUUGGUUAGCGGCGGACGGGUGAGUAACACGUGGGCAACCUGCCUGUAAGACUGGGAUAACUUCGGGAAACCGGAGCUAAUACCGGAUAAUCCUUUUCCUCUCAUGAGGGAAAGCUGA